rnacentral:rRNA from 1 species
CCUUUACUGACGCUAAAGCUAGAAGGUGCGGGUAUCGAACAGGAUUAGAUACCCUGGAGUCCGCACGGUAAACGAUGGAUGCCCGCUGUUUGCGAUAUAUUGUGAGCGGCCAAGCGAAAGCGUUAAGCAUCCCACCUGGGGAGUACGCCGGCAACGGUGAAACUCAAAGGAAUUGACGGGGGCCCGCACAAGCGGAGGAACAUGUGGUUUAAUUCGAUGAUACGCGAGGAACCUUACCCGGGCUUGAACUGCAGCAGAACGAUUGAGAGAUCAUGAGGUCCUUCGGGACUGCUGUGGAGGUGCUGCAUGGUUGUCGUCAGCUCGUGCCGUGAGGUGUCGGCUUAAGUGCCAUAACGAGCGCAACCCCUCUCUUCAGUUGCCAUCAGGUAGAGCUGGGCACUCUGGAGACACUGCCACCGUAAGGUGUGAGGAAGGUGGGGAUGACGUCAAAUCAGCACGGCCCUUACGUCCGGGGCUACACACGUGUUACAAUGGGUGGUACAGAGCGUCGGCGGCCUGCAAAGUCCGUCCAAUCGCAAAAUCCAUCCUCAGUUCGGACUGGGGUCUGCAACCCGACCCCACGAAGCUGGAUUCGCUAGU